rnacentral:rRNA from 1 species
UACGGAGGGUGCAAGCGUUAUCCGGAUUCACUGGGUUUAAAGGGUGCGUAGGCGGGCAUGUAAGUCAGUGGUGAAAUCUUCAGGCUUAACCUGAAAAUUGCCGUUGAUACUAUGUGUCUUGAAUAUCGUUGAGGUUUUGCGGAAUAUGUCAUGUAGCGGUGAAAUGCUUAGAUAUGACAUAGAACACCAAUUGCGAAGGCAGCAGGCUAAACGAACAUUGACGCUGAGGCACGAAAGCGUGGGGAUCAAACAGG